rnacentral:rRNA from 1 species
CCUACGGGAGGCAGCAGUGAGGAAUAUUGGUCAAUGGACGAGAGUCUGAACCAGCCAAGUAGCGUGAAGGAUAACUGCCCUAUGGGUUGUAAACUUCUUUUAUCUGGGAAUAAAACGUUCCACGUGUGGGAUUUUGUAUGUACCAUAUGAAUAAGGAUCGGCUAACUCCGUGCCAGCAGCCGCGGUAAUACGGGGGAUCCGAGCGUUUUCCGGAUUUAUUGGGGUUAAAGGGGGCGUAGGUGGAUUGUUAAGUCAGUUGGGAAAGUUUGCGGCUCAACCGUAAAAUUGCAGUUGAAACUGGCAGUCUUGAGUACAGUAGAGGUGGGCGGAAUUCGUGGUGUAGCGGUGAAAUGCUUAGAUAUCACGAAGAACUCCGAUUGCGAAGGCAGUUCACUGGACUGCAACUGACACUGAGGCUCGAAAGUGUGGGUAUCAAACAGGAUUAGAUACCCUGGUAGUC